GACAGAGGGUGCAAACGUUGUUCGGAAUUACUGGGCGUAAAGCGUGUGUAGGCGGCUAUGUAAGUCGGAUGUGAAAGCCCCGGGCUCAACCCGGGAAGUGCACUCGAUACUGCGUAGCUUGAGUCUCGGAGAGGUUGGUGGAAUUCUCGGUGUAGAGGUGAAAUUCGUAGAUAUCGAGAGGAACACCGGUGGCGAAGGCGGCCAACUGGACGAAGACUGACGCUGAGACACGAAAGCGUGGGGAGCAAACAUG
rnacentral:rRNA from 1 species